rnacentral:lncRNA from 1 species
AAGGCUCAGAUGAUUUUUAAUGUUUUUAGCAAUAAAGUAUUUUUAAAUUAAGAGAAUUCAGCCUCAGCCCCCAGAUGAAGAUGGGGAUCACAGUGACAAAGAAGAUGAACAGCCUCAAGUGGUGGUUUUAAAAAAGGGAGACCUGUCAGUUGAAGAAGUCAUGAAAAUUAAAGCAGAAAUAAAGGCUGCCAAAGCAGAUGAAGAACCAACUCCAGCCGAUGGAAGAAUCAUAUAUCGAAAACCAGUCAAGCAUCCCUCAGAUGAAAAAUAUUCAGGUUUAACAGCAAGCUCAAAAAAGAAGAAGCCAAAUGAAGAUGAAGUAAAUCAGGACUCGGUCAAAAAGAACUCACAAAAACAAAUUAAAAAUAGUAGCCUCCUUUCUUUUGACAACGAAGAUGAAAAUGAGUAAGUGUAAAUAUUUUGAAUUUAGUCUACUUUGAAAGUAUAUGGAGUGUUCAUUAAAAUCACAUUUUUUCCUAUUAUAAAGAUACUACAAGUUCUUUAUAGAAAGUUUAGGAAAUAGAGAAAAAAAUUUAAUAAACUACAUCUAUUCAUCAAUACCCCUCUGACUUAAAAUGCCAACUCUAUAGAAAUUAGCUAGUAUUAACAUUUUGUUAUUUCCCUUGUGUGGUUGUAUAUAUAUGUAAAUUAUAUUUUUAAGCAAAAUACAUUUUUUGUGUGUAAACAAAAUUUUAUAAAUACAACUGUAUUGCAAAUGUUCUUUGUCCUGCUUCUCACUUGACAUUGCAUUACGAGUAUUCUUCCAGGUCAGUAAAUUUCAAAAACCUGACAUUAAUAGCUACAGAUAAUUUCAUAAACAUCUCAUUGUAUCUUUUUCAUUAGCAAUAGCUCCACUUUGGGUGGGGGAGAUGAUAAUGUGCCUUGUUAAAAAUACCUCCCCAACUCCUGCUAAGGGUGGCCAUGAGACUCAGCUCUGGCAAGUUAAGAAAUACAGGUGGAAUUCUGCUUGAUAAAGCUGCUGGGUUUUUUGUUACAAAAGGACAGACUUGGCAAACAUGAGCCUUUGCUCUUAUCUUUUCAUCCUACUUGGAGUGCAGAGAUAAAACCUGAGUACCAGAGCCACUUUUAGGCAUAAGGAAGGCAGCCAUGUGCUUUGGGUCAUGUUAGUAAAAAGACUCAGAGCUUGGCUCCUUGCUGACAUGCCUGGAGGAGCUGCUACACCAGCUUGGAUUGCUGACCUCUGACUUCUUGGUAGUGAGAAGAAUAAACACUGUGCUUAAUUAGGCCUUGGUCAGGUUUCUUUUAUAUGCAGCCAAAUGCAGUCCUAAGUAAUACAAUAAAUAACUGGUCAAACUGUUACUGGUGGAGGGUGUCCAGGUUCUUGGCAUUUUGGACAAAUAAUUGAACAAAACGCACAAAGCAAUGAAUAUCCUCUAGAGGUUUGCCAUUGGUUACUUGGCGUACACCCUGUGUAAAUGAAGUAGUGGCCCGUGACCUGUCUGAUUGGUGCAGAAAGUGACCAAUCAGAGGCUGAAGUGAAGUUACAAAGUUAUACUCCUGUGUAAAUGAGGACUUGGCCUAUGACCAGUCUGAUUGGUUGCAGGAGGGGACCAAUCAGAGGCACUUUCAUUUUUCAUCUGCAAUGCAGAAAAGGCAAGGGGAUUGCAAAGGGAGUAGCCUCUGAUCCUUUUGUUACUUAGGUAUGGAGAGGUGGGGUUUUCCUUUUGAUUCAGUUCUAGGAAGUCAAUGUGAAUCAGCCUUAGGUUCCCUGUCUCCAGACCCUAUUCUCCUGCCUCAUUUUCCCCCUGAGAGACGUGAUCCUCGUAAAUCUUUAUGGGAGGCUGAGAGACUGAGGGUCUUUCUUCUGUAACUGCUUCAUGCUAACUUGGGACACAGUCCCUACCUAUUGGAGAUCACGUAACUCUCACCCUGCUUUGUCUAGGGGAGACAGGGUAGCUUCUUGAUGGCCGGUGGUGUCUUCUCCUGAAACUGGCUAGAAAUCUUGUCACAUGAUCAUCUAACUUGGUGGUCUCUAGGCAAAAGGAAAUGGAUUUGGUUAAAAGAUUUAACAGAUAUGGUCCAAAAACCAAGGCAAAUAUAAUCAUUAAUAAUGGGCUGGCCAAGGGAGGGAGCCAUGAAACCCAACUUAGUGCCCUUUAGGUGCCCCAGCUGUUGUCAUAUUUUAGAGGCCCAGUCAGCUAGUUUUCAGGUGGUGUCCCUUACUAAUCCUGAUUGGUUGACAUCAAAACAGCAUUCUUCUUCUAGGAAAAUACAUAAGCCACCUGUUUCAGCAGUUAGGAGAUCUAGUCCCCUUCGAUUUUGCAAAGCGACCACUGCCAAGGAGCCUAUCCGAAUUUGUAAGGUGACAAUACUUUGAGCAAUGUUAUCCAGGCUUUCCAUAAAAUCCUUGGACAAGCGUUGGUAAUAGGAUAGGGAAGUUGCAAUCCCGCUAACUCCCAUUCCUACCUCUGCUGUUAUUCCUAGCCGUUGUGUCUGGUGGUUGCAGUUAAAGGUAUAAUGAGGGAUUGGUUGUUGGGAGCUAUAUUAAUUUAGGGACAUACAAUAUUUCUGUCUCCAGUCUACCACUUCCACCAAAGACAAAUCACAGCAGAACCGACCUAACUUCAAAAUAAACUGCAGUCCCAUAUACUGGGCCUGAUUACCCACACAAAGUGCAACAAGAAUCAUUGUCCAUAUAGACUCUCCUAGAUUGGCUUUGCUAGAACAUUUCACAAGGCCAUUUCAGUCAAAGUCCUGAGAAAGUAACCGGUUUCAAUUGUGCCCUAUUACAAAAGAAAACGUGGUUAUUAACUUUAUACAGACAAAUGCCAUGAAUUAAGAAUAUUCAUAAAUAGUUUACAAAUUCUGGAGAAAUUAGAAUACUCAAUACACUUAAAGUGUAUUUCAAGGCUAUAAAUAGCUCAAAAUAAAAAGAUUAUUCAGACUCUGAAAAAACAAAAAGAAGUAGCAAUAUUUCAAACAACAAAAGCCAUACAAAUUAUUUCAGUCUUCCAUUAGUUCAUUUCAGUCCAUGUAAUCAACUCCUGCUCUACUUCAUAUUCAUCUUUAUGAACACAUCAGCCUUUCAAUUAGUGCCUUGGAAGUUUUCUGUCUAAUCCAAUGGCACACUCUCCAAAGUUACCAGAAACCUGCAUUCAAGAGUUCUUUUCAUGAACUCCAAAGAAGUAAGCCUUGGACUGUAGCUGAUUAUAAGUCACUUUUUUUUUUUGAGAAGGAUCAGAGCAAAACAUCAAUUAUGGAUGACAAAAGUCUUAAGACAGCCAUAAAGACACAGUUGACAAAUGUGGCUAUUUCUGUGGCUUACAACAAUUUAACAUAAUCAUUACAACAUAUAUUAAGACAUAUCAGAAUUUUAGAACUCUCAUACAAUCCUGGAACACAUAUUAACAACAAAUCUCUAUCAGUAUAACCCAAAGGAAGCUAAACACCACCUCACACUUGACAAUGUUUCCUGUAUAAUUCAAACAUUACAAAUAAGCCUAAUAUAAGCCUAAUAUGUCACUCUUGAACUUCAGGAAGCCUAAUAUCCAAAAAGUUAGUUUAAGGUCAAAAGUUUUUGAAUUAACUUUUUUCCAUUAGUAUGGUCAUAUCUUUCUUACUAAUUUGUAAGUUAUGUAAUUUAUCAAUUUUUUUUUGUUGUUCUGUUUCCCAACCUCUAUGUCAGAUAAAGAAUCACCCAGGCCAGACACAAUGGCUCAUGCUUGUAAUCCCAACACUUUGGGAAGCCAAGGUGGGAGAAUUGCUUGAAGCCAGGAAUCUGAGCCCAGCCUGGGCGACAAAGCAAUACCCCUAUCUCUACAAAAAAUAAAAAAUAGCCAGGUGUAGCGACACACACCUGUAGUCCCAGCUGCUCAGGAGGCUAAGCAGGAGGAUGGCUUGGGCCCAGGAGUUCAACGCUGCAGUGAGCUAUGAUUGCACCACUGCACUCCAGCCUGGGCAACAGAGUAAGAACUGUCUCAAAAAAAAUAAAAAAUAGAAAUAAAUUUUAAAAAAAGAAUUACCCAUAUUCUCUUUGUUUUUGUUUAUUCACAUUAACCUUUAUUCUAUCUGGAAUUUAUUAGAGUAUACUUUUUUCUCAAAUAAUCAAUUGUCCUAGAACCAUGUGUUUCUCAUUUAUUUGAAAGGCCAUCUAGUGAGAGAUUUCUCCAAAUGUUGGGGUAGGGAAGGGAGGGGAAGCACUUUAAAGUCUGAGCCUUUAGAGGUGAUUCCUCAAGACCCUGCUUAAUCCUAACAAUUUUCCUCAUUAGUAAAAGUCAGCCCAAACUGGGGGCUUGUUAAGAUCCUUACCAGCCACAUCCAUCUGAAAUUAUGAAUUUCAAAGUAUCUUACAAAUUUGGUGCCACAUUAUCUUUUUUAAGUUUGUUUUGUUUUGUUUUUUUGAGACAGAGUCUCGCUCUGUCACCCAGGCUGGAGUGCAGUGGCGCGAUCUCAGCUCACUGCAAGCUCCGCCUCCUGGGUUCACACCAUUCUCUUGCCUCAGCCUCCCAAGUAUCUGGGACUACAGUCGCCCGCCACCACGCCCGGCUAAUUUUUUUGUAUUUUUAAUAGAGACGGGGUUUCACUUUGUUAGCCAGGAUGGUCUCAAUCUCCUGACCUCAUGAUCCACCUGCCUCGGCCUCCCAAAGUGCUGGGAUUACAGGCAGGAGCCACCGCGCCUGGGCCUUUUUUUAAGUUUUAAGUACCUAUAAAGAACACUGAAAGGUGAUGUGUGUGGAUGAGCUAGGAAGACCUGAAAUAGGCUCUCUCUAAAUUAAUCAAAUUAAUCCUGAAGCCAUUCUGCAAUACUGUCUUUAAUGUAUACUCACUUGUUAUAGAAGCCAGGGUUUUUUCCCCUAAUUUGUAUCAUUGCUAUAUGUGUUAUUGUACCAAACUACACUGUUUUAAUUGCUGUAAAUUUUAAUAUGUCUUAGUAUCUGGGUGUGGGAAUCUUGAAAGCAUGGAGUUUGUGUUAUUCACCACUGUAUUCUCAAAUAUCAGAAGAGUAUCUGGCCUACUAAGUGCACAAUAAACAUAGUUAAAAUGAA